rnacentral:lncRNA from 1 species
GUGUGUUGGCGUGGGGGUGGAGGGCGAGGUGGGCGCUAAGCCUUUGUUUAAGAUUUUUCAGGUACCCCUCACUAAAGGCACUGAAGGCUUAAAGUAGGACAACCACGGAGCCUUCCUGUGGCAAGAGACAACAAAGCGCUAUUAUACUAAGGUCGAUACAAGUGUCAGCCUCACAGCCCGACUCUGGCAGUGAGGACUCCCUCAGCCCCGCCUUCCCGGGCUUACCUUAACGUCCCACCGGGCUGUUUUCACAGCAGCUGCUAGAACAAAGCCCAACUUGCGGUGCUUGUUGGGGAGGGAAAGGGGGAAGUGGGCAACCAGUUCUCCCUAGCUUUUCCAGAAGCCUGCUAAAAGCAAGGUCUCCCCACAAGCGACUUCUCUGCCACAUCGCCACCCCCAGCCUUUGGCCUAGCACAGACCCUUCACCCCUCACCUCGCUGCAGCCAGUAGCUCGGAUCCUUGUGGGCAUGAUGCAUAAUCGGUUUCAAGGUGAACGUAACAGACUGAGCCAAGCUAGCAUCUUAGUGGAAGGAAGCAGCUCUCCAGUGUCUCCAGUAGGGCCGUGCAAGGUUUUGCUUUUUGGCCUUUAUCUAGCUUAAAAAAAAAAAAGCAAAAGAUGCUGGUGGUUGGCACUCCUGGAUUCCAGGACGGGGUUCAAAUCCCUGCGGCGUCUUUGCUUGCUGUCGUGCCUGUCCUC